CGAUACCACCAUCCAGUCACAAUCCAGAUAUGGUCACUGCAAAUGACUCCUCCAUGAAGAGUUUAGAGAGACAUUCCUCCCAAGUAAGGGUCACCCAGCUGCUCUCCUAGGAAGCUCCAUAUCCCACCUCAGGCUACUGCUGACCCAAAGACUUAUAUUCACUAGGUACUCCAAGAGACCAGAGACAUGGCUACUAGUAGUUCUAGCUGCCUAGUUCUAGGCAGUUCUAGUACCUGGAAGAACAUAGGCUAGGAAGAGGACCUAUCUCCCUGUAAGGUCCAUGACCUCUGCCUUUCCACCUCCUCUAGAGGACCCUCAGAAACCAUUCCCAUGCUUAGCAGUAGUGGAAAACGGAACAAAGAUGUGGCUCUCCUAUGCUCCUUGCAGCAACCUCAGGAGUUGUUUUCAGAACUGCCACUCAGGGGGAGCUGUCCCAAAGGAGAAGUCCAUAGUGGUGACACCUAUCCUGCAUCAGGUUACUACCAGCAUGAGGAGCGGUCCGCGGUGGUAAUGCCUUUUUUCCUGCCUCAGCCUACAGCUUUCCAGAAAACCACUCCAGGAGUUGCUGGAGCUGUCUACAGUGGUAUCACCUCCUCUCCAGCCCCACCCACCCCC